AGAACGAACGCUGGCGGCAUGCCUAAUACAUGCAAGUCGAACGAGCUCUUCGGAGUUAGUGGCGCACGGGUGCGUAACGCGUGGGAAUCUGCCCUUGGGUUCGGAAUAACAGUUGGAAACGACUGCUAAUACCGGAUGAUGACGAAAGUCCAAAGAUUUAUCGCCCAGGGAUGAGCCCGCGUAGGAUUAGCUAGUUGGUGAGGUAAGGGCUCACCAAGGCGACGAUCCUUAGCUGGUCUGAGAGGAUGAUCAGCCACACUGGGACUGAGGCACGGCCCAGACUCCUACGGGAGGCAGCAGUAGGGAAUAUGGACAAUGGGCGAAAGCCUGAUCCAGCAAUGCCGCGUGAGUGAUGAAGGCCUUAGGGUUGUAAAGCUCUUUACCCGAGAUGAUAAUGACAGUAUCGGAGAAUAAGCCCGCUAACUCCGUGCCAGCAGCCGACGU
rnacentral:rRNA from 1 species